AACGAACGCUGGCGGCAUGCCUAACACAUGCAAGUCGAACGAGACCUUCGGGUCUAGUGGCGCACGGGUGCGUAAGGCGUGGGAACCUGCCCUUAGGUUCGGAAUCACUCCCCGAAAGGGGUGCUAAUCCCGGAUAAUUUCUUCGGACCAACGAUUUAUCGCCUUUGGAUGGGCCCGCGUUGGAUUAGCUAGUUGGUAGGGUAAACGCCUACCAAGGCGACGAUCCAUAGCUGGUCUGAGGGGAUGCUCAGCCACACUGGGACUGAGACACGGCCCAGACGCCUACGGGAGGCAGCAGUGGUGAAUAUUGGACAGUGGGCGAAAGCCUGAUCCAGCAAGGCCGCGUGAGUGAUGAAGGCCUUAGGGUUGUAUAGCGCUUUUACCCGGGAUGUUAAUGACAGUACCGGGAGAAUAAGCUCCGGCUAACUCCGUG
rnacentral:rRNA from 1 species